rnacentral:rRNA from 1 species
AUUGAACGCUGGCGGCAGGCCUAACACAUGCAAGUCGAACGGUAGCACAGAGGAGCUUGCUCCUUGGGUGACGAGUGGCGGACGGGUGAGUAAUGUCUGGGAAACUGCCUGAUGGAGGGGGAUAACUACUGGAAACGGUAGCUAAUACCGCAUAACGUCGCAAGACCAAAGAGGGGGACCUUCGGGCCUCUUGCCAUCAGAUGUGCCCAGAUGGGAUUAGCUAGUAGGUGGGGUAAUGGCUCACCUAGGCGACGAUCCCUAGCUGGUCUGAGAGGAUGAACAGCCACACUGGAACUGAGACACGAUCCAGACUCCUACGGGAGGCAGCAGUGGGGAAUAUUGCACAAUGGGCGCAAGCCUGAUGCAGCCAUGCCGCGUGUAUGAAGAAGGCCUUCGGGUUGUAAAGUACUUUCAGCGGGGAGGAAGGCGAUACGGUUAAUAACCGUGUCGAUUGACGUUACCCGCAGAAGAAGCACCGGCUAACUCCGUGCCAGCCGCCGCCGUAA